GGCCUUCACACACACACUUCUCUUUCAAAUACCCGGCUGAGUCACAGGUACCCUUUGUAGAAAAGAAAAUAAUAAUCAUGUAUGGGUGUCAUUAGAGAGUGUAUUUUUUCUCUUGAUAUUAUAUCAGAUUUCCUCUUAUCCUCUUGAUUCAGAAGAUUUAAUACCAACAUGCCUGUUCUAAUCUGAUUUCUCUUGUUUUUCAGCAGAGGCUACAUUAUCUCGCUUCCUGGUCCCUAUUCUUCUCUUAAUUGGCUGGAUUGUGGGAUGCAUCGUAAUGGUUUAUGUUGUCUUCUCUUAGAAAGGCCAGAAGACUUCAGAUUGACAUCAUUUAGAAGAAUUAAGAAAAGCAUGAAAUGACAGAUUAUUAAAUGUUUCUCAUGUAAAUAACUGCAAUGUUUGACAUCACUUUAUAAACUUGCAUUUGUGAACUGUUA